rnacentral:tRNA from 1 species
GCCUCGAUGGCGGAAUUGGUAGACGCGCUGGAUUCAAAAUCCAGUUUUCGCAAGGAAGUGUGGGUUCGAUUCCCACUCGAGGUACAA